rnacentral:rRNA from 1 species
CCUACGGGUGGCAGCAGUGGGGAAUAUUGCACAAUGGGGGAAACCCUGAUGCAGCGACGCCGCGUGAGUGAAGAAGUAAUUCGGUAUGUAAAGCUCUAUCAGCAGGGAAGAAAAUGACGGUACCUGAGUAAGAAGCCCCGGCUAACUACGUGCCAGCAGCCGCGGUAAUACGUAGGGGGCAAGCGUUAUCCGGAUUUACUGGGUGUAAAGGGAGCGUAGACGGCAGUGCAAGUCUGGAGUGAAAGGCGGGGGCUCAACCCCCGGAAUGCUCUGGAAACUGUACGGCUGGAGUGCAGGAGAGGUAAGUGGAAUUCCUGGUGUAGCGGUGAAAUGCGUAGAUAUUAGGAGGAACACCGGUGGCGAAGGCGGCUUACUGGACUGUAACUGACGUUGAGGCUCGAAAGCGUGGGGAGCAAACAGGAUUAGAUACCCCAGUAGUC